rnacentral:rRNA from 1 species
CGUGCAGGUGGUCUGUUAAGUUGGAUGUUAAAUCUCACGGCUUAACCGGGAGAUGUCGUUCAAAACUGGCAGACUAGAGGACGGUAGAGGAAGGUGGAAUUCCGGGUGUAGUGGUGAAAUGCGUAGAUAUCCGGAGGAACAUCAGUGGCGAAGGCGACCUUCUGGACCGCUCCUGACACUCCAACGCGAAAGCUAGGGGAGCAAACG